rnacentral:rRNA from 1 species
UUGGUGACCAGCGGAGGGAUCAUUACCGAGUUUACAACUCCCAAACCCAAUGUGAACGUUACCAAACUGUUGCCUCGGCGGGAUCUCUGCCCCGGGUGCGUCGCAGCCCCGGACCAAGGCGCCCGCCGGAGGACCAACCAAAACUCUUAUUGUAUACCCCCUCGCGGGUUUUUUUUAUAAUCUGAGCCUUCUCGGCGCCUCUCGUAGGCGUUUCGAAAAUGAAUCAAAACUUUCAACAACGGAUCUCUUGGUUCUGGCAUCGAUGAAGAACGCAGCGAAAUGCGAUAAGUAAUGUGAAUUGCAGAAUUCAGUGAAUCAUCGAAUCUUUGAACGCACAUUGCGCCCGCCAGUAUUCUGGCGGGCAUGCCUGUCCGAGCGUCAUUUCAACCCUCGAACCCCUCCGGGGGGUCGGCGUUGGGGAUCGGCCCUGCCUUGGCGGUGGCCGUCUCCGAAAUACAGUGGCGGUCUCGCCGCAGCCUCUCCUGCGCAGUAGUUUGCACACUCGCAUCGGGAGCGCGGCGCGUCCACAGCCGUUAAACACCCAACUUCUGAAAUGUUGACCUCGGAUCAGGUAGGAAUACCCGCUGAACUUAAGCAUAUCAAUAAAGCGGGAGG